GCAGAACGCGAAGAACCUUACCUGGGUUUGACAUGGCCGCAAAACUGUCAGAGAUGGCAGGUCCUUCGGGGGCGGUCACAGGUGGUGCAUGGCUGUCGUCAGCUCGUGUCGUGAGAUGUUGGGUUAAGUCCCGCAACGAGCGCAACCCUCGUUCGAUGUUGCCAGCGCGUUAUGGCGGGGACUCAUCGAAGACUGCCGGGGUCAACUCGGAGGAAGGUGGGGAUGACGUCAAGUCAUCAUGCCCCUUAUGUCCAGGGCUUCACGCAUGCUACAAUGGCCGGUACAAUGGGCUGCGAUACCGUGAGGUGGAGCGAAUCCCAAAAAGCCGGUCUCAGUUCGGAUCGGGGUCUGCAACUCGACCCCGUGAAGUCGGAGUCGCUAGUAAUCGCAGAUCAGCAACGCUGCGGUGAAUACGUUCCCGGGUCUUGUACACACCG
rnacentral:rRNA from 1 species